rnacentral:rRNA from 1 species
GACGUAGGGCGCGAGCGUUGUCCGGAUUUAUUGGGCGUAAAGAGCUCGUAGGCGGCUUGUCGCGUCGUCCGUGAAAACCCACAGCUCAACUGUGGGCUUGCGGUCGAUACGGGCAGGCUAGAGUUCGGUAGGGGAGACUGGAAUUCCUAGUGUAGCGGUGAAAUGCGCAGAUAUCAGGAGGAACACCGGUGGCGAAGGCGGGUCUCUGGGCCGAUACUGACGCUGAGGAGCGAAAGCGUGGGGAGCGAACAGG